AGGGCGCACGGUGGAUGCCUUGGCACUAGAAGCCGAUGAAGGACGUUACUAACGACGAUAUGCUUUGGGGAGCUGUAAGUAAGCUUUGAUCCAGAGAUUUCCGAAUGGGGAAACCCAGCAUGAGUUAUGUCAUGUUAUCGAUAUGUGAAUACAUAGCAUAUCAGAAGGCACACCCGGAGAACUGAAACAUCUUAGUACCCGGAGGAAGAGAAAGAAAAUUCGAUUCCCUUAGUAGCGGCGAGCGAAACGGGAAGAGCCCAAACCAACAAGCUUGCUUGUUGGGGUUGUAGGACACUCUAUACGGAGUUACAAAGGACGACAUUAGACGAAUCAUCUGGAAAGAUGAAUCAAAGAAGGUAAUAAUCCUGUAGUCGAAAAUGUUGUCUCUCUUGAGUGGAUCCUGAGUACGACGGAGCACGUGAAAUUCCGUCGGAAUCUGGGAGGACCAUCUCCUAAGGCUAAAUACUCUCUAGUGACCGAUAGUGAACCAGUACCGUGAGGGAAAGGUGAAAAGCACCCCGGAAGGGGAGUGAAAUAGAACCUGAAACCGUGUGCUUACAAGUAGUCAGAGCCCGUUAAUGGGUGAUGGCGUGCCUUUUGUAGAAUGAACCGGCGAGUUACGAUUUGAUGCAAGGUUAAGCAGUAAAUGUGGAGCCGUAGCGAAAGCGAGUCUGAAUAGGGCGUUUAGUAUUUGGUCGUAGACCCGAAACCAGGUGAUCUACCCUUGGUCAGGUUGAAGUUCAGGUAACACUGAAUGGAGGACCGAACCGACUUACGUUGAAAAGUGAGCGGAUGAACUGAGGGUAGCGGAGAAAUUCCAAUCGAACCUGGAGAUAGCUGGUUCUCUCCGAAAUAGCUUUAGGGCUAGCCUCAAGUGAUGAUUAUUGGAGGUAGAGCACUGUUUGGACGAGGGGCCCCUCUCGGGUUACCGAAUUCAGACAAACUCCGAAUGCCAAUUAAUUUAACUUGGGAGUCAGAACAUGGGUGAUAAGGUCCGUGUUCGAAAGGGAAACAGCCCAGACCACCAGCUAAGGUCCCAAAAUAUAUGUUAAGUGGAAAAGGAUGUGGCGUUGCCCAGACAACUAGGAUGUUGGCUUAGAAGCAGCCAUCAUUUAAAGAGUGCGUAAUAGCUCACUAGUCGAGUGACACUGCGCCGAAAAUGUACCGGGGCUAAACAUAUUACCGAAGCUGUGGAUUGUCCUUUGGACAAUGGUAGGAGAGCGUUCUAAGGGCGUUGAAGCAUGAUCGUAAGGACAUGUGGAGCGCUUAGAAGUGAGAAUGCCGGUGUGAGUAGCGAAAGACGGGUGAGAAUCCCGUCCACCGAUUGACUAAGGUUUCCAGAGGAAGGCUCGUCCGCUCUGGGUUAGUCGGGUCCUAAGCUGAGGCCGACAGGCGUAGGCGAUGGAUAACAGGUUGAUAUUCCUGUACCACCUAUAAUCGUUUUAAUCGAUGGGGGGACGCAGUAGGAUAGGCGAAGCGUGCGAUUGGAUUGCACGUCUAAGCAGUAAGGCUGAGUAUUAGGCAAAUCCGGUACUCGUUAAGGCUGAGCUGUGAUGGGGAGAAGACAUUGUGUCUUCGAGUCGUUGAUUUCACACUGCCGAGAAAAGCCUCUAGAUAGAAAAUAGGUGCCCGUACCGCAAACCGACACAGGUAGUCAAGAUGAGAAUUCUAAGGUGAGCGAGCGAACUCUCGUUAAGGAACUCGGCAAAAUGACCCCGUAACUUCGGGAGAAGGGGUGCUCUUUAGGGUUAACGCCCAGAAGAGCCGCAGUGAAUAGGCCCAAGCGACUGUUUAUCAAAAACACAGGUCUCUGCUAAACCGUAAGGUGAUGUAUAGGGGCUGACGCCUGCCCGGUGCUGGAAGGUUAAGAGGAGUGGUUAGCUUCUGCGAAGCUACGAAUCGAAGCCCCAGUAAACGGCGGCCGUAACUAUAACGGUCCUAAGGUAGCGAAAUUCCUUGUCGGGUAAGUUCCGACCCGCACGAAAGGCGUAACGAUUUGGGCACUGUCUCAACGAGAGACUCGGUGAAAUCAUAGUACCUGUGAAGAUGCAGGUUACCCGCGACAGGACGGAAAGACCCCGUGGAGCUUUACUGUAGCCUGAUAUUGAAAUUCGGCACAGCUUGUACAGGAUAGGUAGGAGCCUUUGAAACGUGAGCGCUAGCUUACGUGGAGGCGCUGGUGGGAUACUACCCUAGCUGUGUUGGCUUUCUAACCCGCACCACUUAUCGUGGUGGGAGACAGUGUCAGGCGGGCAGUUUGACUGGGGCGGUCGCCUCCUAAAAGGUAACGGAGGCGCUCAAAGGUUCCCUCAGAAUGGUUGGAAAUCAUUCGCAGAGUGUAAAGGUAUAAGGGAGCUUGACUGCGAGAGUUACAACUCGAGCAGGGACGAAAGUCGGGCUUAGUGAUCCGGUGGUUCCGCAUGGAAGGGCCAUCGCUCAACGGAUAAAAGCUACCCUGGGGAUAACAGGCUUAUCUCCCCCAAGAGUUCACAUCGACGGGGAGGUUUGGCACCUCGAUGUCGGCUCAUCGCAUCCUGGGGCUGUAGUCGGUCCCAAGGGUUGGGCUGUUCGCCCAUUAAAGCGGUACGCGAGCUGGGUUCAGAACGUCGUGAGACAGUUCGGUCCCUAUCCGUCGUGGGCGUAGGAAAUUUGAGAGGAGCUGUCCUUAGUACGAGAGGACCGGGAUGGACAUACCUCUGGUGUACCAGUUGUCGUGCCAACGGCAUAGCUGGGUAGCUAUGUGUGGACGGGAUAAGUGCUGAAAGCAUCUAAGCAUGAAGCCCCCCUCAAGAUGAGAUUUCCCAACUUCGGUUAU
rnacentral:rRNA from 1 species